rnacentral:rRNA from 1 species
AUGAGUCUAUAUCUUUCAGAGACACCCUGCAGCACGACGACUGCCAUCAAAGCAGCCAGAGACACCCUGCAGCACGAAAGGAGAAACUUUGAAGCCGUGGCUCUGGCUUCGACAUCCAGGGUGCUGUCUUUUGGUUGUAGUUCUCGUACGUACGUGGUGUCGAUUGGCCUUCACCGCUGGCCGCAUCCAUAUCCCACGACUAGACGCAAACUAGCACAUAACGCCAAGUGUCCUGUUCCGACAAGUGCCUCUUCGUCCUUGAUUCUCCUCCUUUUGCACUGGGAAGAAAUGAUUGUUGUUGGAUCCCUUACUACUUUCUACUGCUACCACCGUUGUCUUUGCCAUGAAGUGAUACGUUUUGUCACGUCAUUUUCGUCCCGGUCGACACCCACGUGCCAUCAUACAAGAAAAUCAUGUUCAGGACAGGUAGUCCCGCCCCCUAGUCAGCACAAAAGGAAAAUGUCCAUCCCAUUCCCGGCCGCCACAGAACACACACACAGAGAGAGAUUUUGCGCGGACCGCAGCAUGCCGGCAAUUCCUACGCGGCACUGCAGCAAAGAUAACAUGACAGGCCUGGCAAUGGCAUGCUGCCACGCCAGGCGACUAGGGAGGCGAUUUUCUUCCUUCGAUCUCAGCCGGUCAUGGUGCGCCGUUGGAGUGGUGGGAGCGGCGCCUGGACGAAUAAAUCUGCCUCAGCUUCACUCCCACACCGGCGGUGCCGUUGAUGGCGGCGUCUCGGAGUUGAUGGCAUCGUGUGAUUGCCGAUCCUUCAGAUCAGCUAUGUUAGGGUUCAUGGGUGAUCUUGGCGAGGCGGCGGCGGCGACUUCAUCAGGUGUGUCUCUCCUUCUGCUUUGUCCCCGUUGCUGUGGCGUUGUCUCCAACGUCAUGGUGGAGCAGGGAGGUUUUGUCAUCCAGGAGUACGUGCAGACGGUUGUUUGCGCAAGUGACAGCUGGAAGAUGGUGCAUCCCGUGCUGGGUUUGUGGUUGGUGGCUGACAGUUCUGGUUUCCUCCUUCGACAUCGUUGUCGUGUGGGGGUGUCAGAUCUAGAGUUCGAUGGCGUGUCCGGGGACAUGUUGCCCCGGUCUGAUUCUUUCAACGGCAAUGGUUUUGCUUCUGGCAAACUACUUUCGAGGUCCGUAAAGCUGCUGAUCAGCGAUGGAGCCGCGUCAAGCUCGGGUGAAGAGGUGAUCUGUUUUCUUUUCCUUUGGUGGUCGCUUCGGUGGUGUCGGAGGAGAGGAACAGGCGCUGUGGCGCUCUCAUUCGUGAUGAUGAGCUGCAAGGCGGAGAACAUCGUCCGGAGAGAGCGACAAAAGAAGGAACACAAGCGGGAAGCGGAGACAAAGGAAUUUUCGGCCAAGGCCAAGAACGUUGUGGACAUCGAGGAGGAUGUGCCCCCUCCGCUGCACCCGGAUGGAUUGGAACUGGGAGAGCGUGAACCACAAGUUGCAACUUGUGAGGAAGAGAUAGAGUUGAAGAAGAAAAAACAUAUUGUGUUGUUGAAUUAUGGACAAUUUGUUCUAUGUGAUCCAGGAAACUCGCCUUGCCCGAUAACCAGCCAAGAAGGCGAGGAGAAGGGGCAUGGAGCAACGAGGCCCCAUCACUACCGAAUUACCAAUGCAAGGUGGGAACUUGUGCACUCAGGUUUGGGUGCACCCCGUGGAGCUUGCUUACUUGAAACUGUUAGUGAUCUCGUCAGCCCGAUCACCGGUUUGUGGGAUGAGCAGCUUGUCCGUGACACCUUCUGGCCGGUCGAUGCAGCGACCAUCCUACAGAUCCCACUACGAGAAGGCGUCGACGAUUUUAUUGCCUGGCAAUUCGACCCAAAAGGAGUACACACUGUCCGGAGUUCUUACAAACUGCAUGUGCAUUUGGAGAAGAUGGAACGUGAUGGUAAUGCAGGUAGCAGCACGGGGAUACCCGGCAACCUGGAUCAAUGCAGUGACGAUUCUUGGAAAAGAUUGUGGAAGCUUCCCUGUCCUAGAAACAUACAGAUGUUUGCAUGGCGAAUUAAGCAUGAGUCGCUGGCCUUGCGGGCGAACCUUGUGCGGAGGGGAGUGCAACUUGAGGACAAAUCAUGUCUAUUCUGCGGCCGAGCUGAGGAGGACGGAGCUCAUUUAUUUGUCAAGUGCAAGGUAGCAGCUCUUUGGAACCUGAAAGAAUGCAGUUGGAGGGGAUCACGUCUGUGCAUCAACCGUAACAAAUUGCGAGAAGGGGAGUUAGCGGACACAGCUGCGGAUGUGGCAAGGCGGGCGAGGUGCUGCGCUCUAGAGUACCACCAAAUCUAUGCAAAACAGGUGGUCACCACAAACGGAACACCAUGGAAGGCCCCUCCGAGUGACAAGAUCAAAGUCAACCUCGAUGGAUCGCACCGGCCGGGUGAGACACAUGCGGGCUGGGGUGUGGUGGCGAGAGACGCGGCCGGAACUGUCCUUGCUGCAAGAGCUGGCCGGAAGGAGUACACAGCUGACGCCUUUGCUGCUGAGGUUUACGCCAUGGCGGAAGCCGUUUCAUUUGCUUCGGAUAUGGGGAUGCUGCGGGUUACUUUUGAGACCGAUUCCCAGCUCCUUGCGGAAGCCAUGGAUGUGCGGACAGUAGACUCCUCUGCUUAUUCUGCGAUCAUUGAAGACACCAAGCUACAGCUCAAGUUAUGGUUCUCCCAUCAUGAAAUUAUGUUAUGUAAACGACAGGCGAAUUCUGUAGCAGAUGCACUCGCUAAACUUGGUCAGUUAUGUGAUGUAAACCACUCCUUGCAGUGGGAGUCCGAUGGUAGCAGCAAGGGAUUUCCCUACCAUUGUUAUUCCCUCAGAGUUAAGAGCAUCCCCAGCCGUUGGCACCUCCAAGAACACCAUCGAACCAAAAAACGUCCCCAAGAGACCCCCAACGUGCCGGGUUUCGCCUGGGUUUGCCGACGCUAUUUUGACGUCCUGGGGGGCCUUGGGGGUGUGGCUGGGCUGUUUCUCGGCGAAAAACGUCGUCCGAACCUAAAACCAAGCCUAAAAAGAUGUCUUGAGGGCGUCUUGGGGGAGGGCUACUGUACUGGAGAUCGACAUAUGCCGGGGGAGGACAACAGCAUCUGCACAGUGAACCGCCGCCGCCAUGCUUUUCAAAGAAAUCCAGAUCGCCGUGACUUUGUUCCAAUGGAAAUCCAGAUUUUAAAGGUCGCCAUGACUUUGUUCCAACGUCAACGUGUGCGCGCACAUCACAUCACAGAAGCACACACACUCUGUCUCUCCACAUCACAAAGGCACACACUCUGUCUUAUAUACCACCUGCCCCAUGCAUCUUCCUCUUUGCUCUCGCCACGCCACAAACCCUUACACGCUUGCCGUGAAGCUGCACCUCUCCGGUCUCCACCACCUAGUAUGACGUCGUCCGGUCCGCCCGUGCCCAUCCGCGCCGGCGGCCGGAGCUUCCCCGUGGCCUUCGUCUUCGGGAUGUUCGGGUUCCUCACCUUCAACUCCGUCAUGGCCGUCUUCCACUCCAAGGGGGACGCCGCCAUCGUCGCCUUCGUCGCCACCUCCUACGCCGACCUCGUCCUCCUCUUCGGCUGCAUAUGGUUCUACAGGAGAGCCGCCCCCGGCUCGCCGCUCCGGGAUCGGCUCAAGCAACGGCGGAGCUUAUACGUGUGGAUCCUCACCACGCUGCUCACCUUCUCCUUCGGCUACAUGGUGAUGGGGGCGGCUGGGCUCACUCUCCCCGUGGCUCUGCUCGCCUGGGCCAUCGCCGCCGGCAUCGGUGUCGGGGCAUUCUUCGCCUUCUUCGAGCAGGACAGGUGCGUCUUCAUGCUUGUCUCUCAUGCAUAUGCAUCGUUGCUCGCCUUCUACUUCGAAGCUCUGCACCACCGUGGUGCACUGCCACCGCGCGCGGGCCGCUCGGUGUCCAACAAUCGCGGCCGCGCACACACCGAUGGUCAGAUACCCGCGGCCCGCGCACGCGCCGCCCGUCGCCACACGUGGCCCGCGCUCGGACACGCCGCUGGUCACCACCCAUGGCCGCCUGCCGCGCACGUCGAAGACGACGUGCUCUGCCGCGGCAAACAGCUCGUCCACGCACCACCGGCCGCACCGCGAACGCCACUUAGCCGCUGCUAG